AAAAAAAAAGAAUAUUCUGCAACAGAGUUAGUUAUAGUUAGAAAAUAAGCACUUCUGAUUGGAUGGGCAUGAGUUCUAAAUGCCACCCACAUGUGGCUACAUUGCUGCACUGAAGUAAUUAAUAAAAAGUGGGGGAUUUAAGGGGGUUUUAAAAAUCAAACACUUCCUGCCCAGUCACCCUGACACACAAUGUUUGUCUUACAGAUGUUUUCCAGAUAAUUUUACAGGAAACUUGUGUUCGAGAUAUGCAUGUUGUUGAACUUAUCCUGUUUUAUUUUAUUCCAUAUCUUUAUAAUAGUUGUGGAUUUACAACAUGUUGAUGUUGCAUAUCAAUUUACAAAUGUAAUAACGCAUAAUGCAGGUAUAGAAAAAAAUGUUUUAAUUGACAGGUCAAAUCUUAACAGUCAAUGGAUAUUAUCAGUUGGACUUACAAAGAUACUAUGUGAACUGACCAGAUAGCCCAUGUACUUUAUGGGUACUUUGUCUCUCUAAUAUAUCAAAUUUCACUUGCAGGCGAAGUGGAUAGCAAAAAAUUUUUUUUUUUUUUUAGGUAAAUAUUUUGCGCUAAAUUUGUGCUUUAAGAUGCAGGACCAACAUAUUAUGGUCAUUGCGCACAGAAUGCCUGUACAAACCCCUAAACACCGGGUCCUGUUCCGCCUGCGCUUUAUUUCAUGGCGGUUGGUUGCUCCUGCGCUCCAGCAGAUGGAAAUAUUGAGUCACUGAUUCUUUUGUCUGCAUCCAAAUUCCAAAGACAUGGGCGGCGAAAAUGAAUUUCCUCUCGCUUUGCUGAAAUGAUUGUGCAAAAUUGCAUUUCGGUUUUUUUCCCCACCAGAAAGUAGUGCAUUGGAUAUUACAAAAUUCUGAAUAGAAUGUGACGGCUAAUUUCAAAAUGUACCGGAUUUUCUUCAUUCAAGAGUUGUAUCCAAUACAAUUGCCUAAACCUCCAAACUCAUCCCAAAUAAGAGCAUUAUUGGUGUUUUUAUCUGUUCAUUGUACGCUGCAGUUUAUUCGUUUUAAAUCACUUUCACUUGUUCCUAACUGCCUUUCCUCUUUGAAUACCAUUCAUGUUUGCUCCCUUCAGCGUAAAUGGGCAGCACCAGGGUGAUGCGCCAGUUUUCACUGACGUCACCUGCAGAAGGAUGGAAACAAGUCCUGUGCACUUUGCUCCACAGACGAUGGGAGAGAUGGCGUCCAGAUGAUUAAGCAAAAACAAACAAAUAACUUAAACGGCAAAGCAAGAAACGACUAGAAGGGAUGCGAGGCAGAUUAUUGACAUGUGGUACAUUUUUACAUUAUCAUCGCUGCAUUCUAUAAGCUAAACUUUACCGGGGAUACUUGAAAUCUUUUGUCUUUUUUUUGUUUAAACAAGGCGUCUUUUCAUGCUAUGUGGGAGAAGGAUCUUGAUUCGACUGAAAUUGUUGUUUAUGCAUAGAUAAGUACAGAGAUCUGCUGGCAGAUUUAGUGUUUUCAACAGCCGUGUUAGCCUCCGCCUCCCGUCCAUCUAACGCUGGACGGCGGAGAGGCACGAGACGGAGAGAAGGGCGAUGGCAGCGGGAGGAGGAUGCGGAGAGACGGUGGAUCAGUGCCGGGAGGAGAUAGAACGGCUCGUCCGGGACCUUGCGGAGGCCAACCGAGAGAAGAUCCGGGCGGCGGAAUGCGGUCUUGUGGUACUGGAGGAGAACCAGGCUCUGAAGCAGCAGUAUGCGGACUUGGAGGCCGAACAGGAGACGCUGAAGCAGGAGCUGGAACAGCUGCAGGAGGCGUUCGGCCAGGCCUACUCCACUCAGCGCAAGGUGGCAGCGGACGGCGAGUCCAACGAGGAGGUGCUGCUGCAGGAGUCGGCCUCCAAGGAGGCGUACUACAUGGGCCGCCUGCUGGAGCUGCAGGCCGAGGUGAAGCAGUGCCGCUCCCUCACCUCCAACACGGUGGCCGAGAACGAGCGGCUCAGCGCGCUGCUGCAGGAGCUCCGAGAGAGUGAGGAGGUGCUGGAGCUGCAGAGGAGCAGGUUGAAGGAGGAGAUCCAGGAGUACAAGUUCAGGGAGACGCGGCUCCUGCAGGACUACUCUGAGCUGGAGGAGGAGAACAUCUCCCUGCAGAAACUGGUGUCCCAUCUCAAACAGAGCCAGGUCUGUGAGAGAAAGGUGGAGUACGAGGGCCUGAAGCACGAGAUCAAGGUGCUGGAGGAGGAGACGGCGCUGCUCAACAGCCAGCUGGAGGAGGCGCUACGCCUGCGGCAGAUCUCCCAGAGCCAGCUGGAGGAGGCGCUGGACUCCCUGCGGAGCGAGAGGGAGGCGCGCAACGGCCUGCGCAAGGAGCUGGCGCACUACCUCAUCCUGACGGACAGCAUGUACACGGUGGGCGGCCACCUCCUCGACCACGCCCCCGCCGUCGUCCCCGGCAACGACGAUGAAGCCAGGUGCAACGGCCACACCCCCGGAAACGGCACCGGCGCCGGCGACGCCGACGGGGCGUCCGAGGCCCCCGGGGGGGAGAGCGGCUCCGCCGGCGGGGAGGGGGAGGCGCCGCCGCCCGCCUCGGACCUCUUCAGCGAGAUGAACCUCAACGAGAUCCAGAACCUGAAGCAGCAGCUGCUGCAGGUGGAGCGGGAGAAGGCGGCGCUGCUGGCCACGCUGCAGGAGUCGCAGGCGCAGCUGCAGCAGAUGCAGGGCGCGCUCGGCGAGCAGCACCGCCGCGUGCGCCGCCUCAGCGAGAGCCUGCUGUCCAUGCGCCGGCUGCAGGGCCCCGCCCGCGGCCACCAGGACGGCUCCGCCCCCUCGCCCUCCUCGUCCCCGCCGCCCCGUUGCCGCGACUGCGAGCUGGAGGCGCACAGCGUGGAGCUGCUGCAGUGCAAGUACCGGGUGGCGGUGACGGAGGUGGUCGGCCUGCAGGGGGAGCUGAAGGCCCUGCGGGAGACGUACCGGCGCAGCGUGGACUGCCUGGAGGGGGAGCGCGCCCGGGGGGAGGACCGUCUGCGGGCGCUGCACGAGCACGCCGCCCGCCUGGAGCAGAGCCGCCAGGAGGGCCGCGCCAGGAUCGGCGGGCUGGAGGCGGAGCUGCGGGCGGCGGAGGGCGCGGCCAGCGAGGGGCGGGGCAUGCUGAGCGCGGCGCAGGAGGAGCUGGCGGGCCUCAGCGAGGACCUGGCCCAGCUCUACCACCACGUCUGCCUGUGCAACGACGAGACGCCCAGCCGGGUGGCGCUGGACUACUACCGGCAGGGCCGCGCCCCGCCCCGGGGAGGGGGCUGCCCCGCCCUCCGGGGCUCCGACGACGUCCGGGCGCUCCUGUCGCCCCGCCUCGCCCGCCGACUCUCCGCGGCCCCCCCCGCGGACUCCGCGCCGUCCAGAGCCCCGCACUCGUCCUCUUCCUCGUCGUCGUCCUCCUCGUCCUCGCCGGUCCCCGAGCCGGGCCGGGAGCCCCAGAACCUGUACCACCUGCUGGCCGUGGUCCGCGAGCAGGUCAGGCACCUGCAGCGCGCCGUGCACCGCGCCCUGCAGCUGUCCCGCCAGCGGGCCGCCGCCCGCCAGCUCGCCCCCGAGCCCGCCGACCCCGCCCUCGCCCCCGACAAGGACAAGGAGGCCUGCCUGGAGGAGAUCCUCAAGCUCAAGUCCCUGCUCAGCACCAAGAGGGAGCAGGUCGCCACGCUGCGGCUCGUCCUCAAGGCCAACAAGCAGACGGCGGAGGUGGCGCUGGCCAACCUGAAGAGCAAGUACGACGCGGAGAAGGCCAUGGUGACGGGGACCAUGACCAAGCUGCGCAACGAGCUGAAGGCCCUGCGGGAGGACGCCGCCACCUUCUCCUCCCUCAGAGCCAUGUUCGCCACCAGGUGUGACGAGUACAUGACUCAGCUGGACCAGAUGCAGAGGCAGCUGGCGGCGGCGGAGGACGAGAAGAAGACGCUGAACUCGCUGCUGCGCAUGGCCAUCCAGCAGAAGCUGGCGCUGACGCAGAGGCUGGAGGACCUGGAGUGCGACCACGAGCAGACCCGCCGCGGCCGCGCCAGCAAGGUGGCCCGGAUCAAGAGCAGCCCCCCCAAACUGCCCGCGGGGUACAGGGCCAGCCCCUCCCUCACCCCCUCUGCGCCGGGCAGCCCGCCGGCCCUGGAGGCUCCGCCCACCUCCUCCUCCUCGCCCUGGGCGACGCCGGCGCCCACCUUCCACCUGGGGCACCCGCACUGGACCCUGGGGGUGCAGGCCUUCACGGUGGACCCCCAGCUCUUCAGCGCCGAGGCCUGCCCCUCCUCUCGCCAUUCCCCGCCGGACUCUCGACCCGCCGCCUCCUGCCCCCCGAGUUCUGCCCCCGCCUCCCCGCUGAGGGCGCGGCACCCGCCCCACGGUGCCGCCAGGACACACCCCCUCGCCGAUGCCGCGCGCUCGGGCUCCGCGGUCACCCCUCCCCCCAGGCCCAGCCAGCCUGGUCCCUAUGCCUACAACUCCCAUCAUGCCCAGCACUGACUCCUGUCAUGGAAUGGGGGGAGGGGCCUGUGAUACAGAAAGGAGCAUAAAUAUAAAUGUAAACACAGGAGAACAGGCUAGUUCCCUGUCUCCUGCUUCCUGUUUCCUGUACCUCAGGCCCUGUGCGUGCUGGUUGUGAACGUGCCUUCCUGUAGUUACUGUUGAUCAGUCCACAGGACCUCCCACCUUCUCAGGUACCAUGGUUUUCUUACUGGAUUCAACUUUGUUUCUUGUCUUUCAUAUAAUCUUAAAGAAAUGUUAUCUGCAUGCUGUGCCACCCUUCUGUAGGUGACCAGUCCACCGGCGGGAGUAAGUACAGAAAAGAAAUAAACUGAACAAAAAUUCCAAUCAAAUAAGCUGUUGGAGGCAAUGUUUUUGUUUAUUUUUAUUUAUUUUUUGUAGAGACUAGGACUUUAUCUGUGCUGGAUUAGAGCUGGAACAGGGGUUAUGUGCAGUUUGUGGAGGUGUGGCAGUUUGCGGACCAUUACAGUUUUAUUUUGUGUUUUCCUGUGAGUUUAAAAAAAAAAAAAACACACUAAUGAUUUUAUGACUUUUCUCAAGUUAUCAUUAACUUUAUGCCAAAUAGCUUGAUCAAGUUGUUUUUGAUAACUGUGCUUACGAAUGAUUUUCUGACUCUGAUGCUGUAUAUUUAGUACCACCUGGUGGUCCUUCAUUAGACAUUAUGGUAUAAAUACAGGAAGGUUUGCUUUUUGAUUUGCCUCAGUUGGUGUAGUGUUGUAAUUGCCUGCACAGGGCCGGGUGGUGUGUGGUCCUCACAGGACAGGGUGUGAGGUGUAAGUGUCCUGGCCCAUUGGUGCUUUGUGUUAUGGCAGGUGAUGGCGCUGUAUGGUAUGCAGGGGCUGCGCAGUUCAGCGUGUAAUUUGUGUGUUUUCAUCCGAAGGCCUCUGGAUUCGCCCGUUUGCGAUUCACUUUUGUGGGGCGAGAAGCAUUUGACAGCAUUCCUCCUCGCCACGGCAACUAACGAUGAGCAUUGUCAGCCACGCCAUCCGCAGUCGGGACAGAUACCAGCCCUAUCAAACAGAUGGAGCCAUGGAACGUACGCUUGUACCGUGUUUCAGAAACUGCUAACCAGCGGUAAUGGCCUAAACAAAAUACAGUUUGCCCGAAACGUUUGAACAGUCCGGGCUGUUCAGGGAUGAGCAAAUCUUUCUGUACGAAGGCAUGAAUGUAUUUUCGUAGUGCCUCGGUAAAGAAGAAGCCAUGCGUACGUCAGCAGUCCCGCGCACUCAGCUCCUCGAGUCGGCCUGCCGCCGUUUCAGCCAUUUUGCCUCCUCGGCCAGUGUUUUCCUGAGAAGGGCAGGAUUGUGACUCCCAUCGGAUGGGAUCUGUGCAACCCUCUGAAGCCACCAGGGGGCGCCACACCAGGGCUGGCCCAGGUGACCUGCAGAAACGUUGAGGGGCAGGGUGCAGAAACCAGUGCUUUCUGUUCAAAAAAAGCCUCAUUUGCCAGUGGCUCACGCAAGCAAACCGCACAACGAGAACUGGAGUUGUGGUUGGCGGUGUAGUUUGGUCCCUCUUGAGGGGAAAACUUUUGUUUUCAUUCAUUGCUCUGAAUGGUCAUACACCACCAUCACAGGACUUCCUUCCCACCAACAAGGACUUUACCCACCUUGGGCCUUCUGCUGUAGGCCUCCAGUUGGUCCUUAACUUCAGAAGAUGACAGUCUGUGCCUUGUACAGUUUCACAGCAUUAAAUCGCUUUCUGAUA